GAAGCUCAGUGGGGAUUAUGGGCCCCAGAUCCUAGGGUGUUUGAUGGAGUUACAUGAGUUAACACAUGUGAGAACACAGUGCGAAGCCUGACACCCACGAGGUGCUCCUGCCCCACCCCACUUUGCUUGGGCCUUUCUUCACCUUCCAGGUCACACCUGAACUGUGUUCCACGAGCCACAGACUCAGGAUGUCAGAGCAUGGAGGGGCCUCAAGUGUCACUCAGCCCAUUGCAGGUGCUCAGUGCUGGUGGUUCCCAGCCACAUCAUCCCCCCUGUCUUUACACUCUAUGUUGAACAAUUUGGGCUGCCUUUGAACUUCCUGCACAGGCUUUUCCCUGCUCUCCCUGGCUGACUGAUUUCUGGACCUGACUCCCAUGUCUACUCCUCCAAGAAGCCUCCUGGGCCCCUUGACAAGCAGACUGCCAGUGCCUUUGUCUGAGCUUCAACAACCUUAUCCUGACUUUAAUUCAAUACUCUCCAUACUGGGGAGUUCCUGUGUCUUGUUUUCUAACAGGGAGCUCCAGGGGCCCUGACACUGGCACAUGCAGGUGCUUAAGAAGAGUGAGUCAGAACAUGAAUGGGCAGAAGUUUGGCAAUACC